rnacentral:rRNA from 1 species
ACGAGAACCAAUGGAUCGAGGAUUCGUCCAACUUUAGUUGGGGAAAGUGGCGGACGGGUGAGUAACGCGUGAGCAAUCUGCCUUGGAGUGGGGAAUAACGGUUGGAAACAGCCGCUAAUACCGCAUGAAGCAGUUGAGGGGCAUCCCUGUGACUGCCAAAGAUUUAUCGCUCUGAGAUGAGCUCGCGUCUGAUUAGCUAGUUGGCGGGGCAACGGCCCACCAAGGCGACGAUCAGUAGCCGGACUGAGAGGUUGGCCGGCCACAUUGGGACUGAGACACGGCCCAGACUCCUACGGGAGGCAGCAGUGGGGAAUAUUGGGCAAUGGGCGCAAGCCUGACCCAGCAACGCCGCGUGAAGGAAGAAGGCUUUCGGGUUGUAAACUUCUUUUCUGGGGGACGAACAAAUGACGGUACCCCAGGAAUAAGCCACGGCUAACUACGUGCCAGCAGCCGCGGUAAUACGUAGGUGGCAAGCGUUAUCCGGAUUUAUUGGGUGUAAAGGGCGUGUAGGCGGGAAAGCAAGUCAGAUGUGAAAACUCAGGGCUCAACCCUGAGCCUGCAUUUGAAACUGUUUUUCUUGAGUGCUGGAGAGGCAAUCGGAAUUCCGUGUGUAGCGGUGAAAUGCGUAGUUUUUUGGAGGAACACCAGUGGCGAAGGCGGAUUGCUGGACAGUAACUGAC